rnacentral:pre_miRNA from 1 species
UUAAAGAAUUUGAAGACCUCAACUUGCAGACUUGAAGAAUUCGAAGACUUCAACUUGCAGACUCAAAGAAUUUGAAGACUUCAACU